CGCUAAGAAGCUAAAUUGGGAAUAAGCGUUAGCCUUUUAAGCUAAAGAUGGGGGGCCCCUAACCACCCUUAGCGA
rnacentral:tRNA from 1 species